rnacentral:rRNA from 1 species
GACGAACGCUGGCGGCAGGCCUAACACAUGCAAGUCGAGCGGAGCGGCGGACGGGUGAGUAAUGCCUAGGAAUCUGCCUGGUAGUGGGGGAUAACGUCCGGCAACGGGCGCUAAUACCGCACACUAUCCGAUGAGCCUAGGUCGGUUUAGCAAGGUGGUGGGGUACAGGCCUACAAGGGCGACCAUCCGUUACUGGUCUGAGAGGAUGAUCAGUCACACUGGAAAUGGGGCACGGUCCAUACUCCAACGAGGGGCAGCAGUGGGGAAUAUUGGACAAUGGGCAAAAGCCUGAUCCAGCCAUGCGGCGUGUGUGAAGAGGUUCUUCGGAUUGUAAAGCACUUAAAGUUGGGAGGCGUUACCAACAGAAUAAGCACCGGCUAACUUCGUGCCAGCAGCCGCGGUAAUUC